CAUCGAUAAAGGCAAAACUACCCAAAGGUAGUGACGCAAAACUAUAGGGGCUUCCCGUUUAAACGGUUGCCAGCCAGUUGCCGAA
rnacentral:ncRNA from 1 species